AGCUUCACACAGUGGCAAUAUCGUAGCCAGUGAGGUUUAUCUGAGGUGCGAUUAUUAUCUGAGGUGCUAAUUGAAAAAUGUUUUCUAUAGCUGUCUUUUAAAUUAUUCAUUUUUAUUUUCUUUAUAUAUAUAUAUA
rnacentral:snRNA from 1 species